ACCGAGUCAUGUUUAUACAUUUCUCUAGAUUAGUUUCAAAUAUUUCUAUUUAAAAGUCAGUUUUUUAAAGUUUUUUUUAUAAAAAUGGAAAAUGCUCCCACUCGGACUCGAUUUAAGAGAUGCUCCCACUCGGACCCAAAUAUAUACAUUUCGAAAGCACAUUGCUGUGUUAAGCUUUUAUGGAUUAUUCUCCGAUUUUUACACCAUUUUGUCAAAAACUAAUAUGUGUUUGGCAACAUUAACUUUUUCCUUCUUUUUUACAGAGAUCACUUCUUUGAUUCUGAAGAAUGACGUCGUUGGGCAGGAACAAGGUGCCAUGGCAAAGUUUCAACUGACAGGAUCACUAUACAAAAAGGUUCACUUGGCUUGUGUUGGAUCCGAAGGGAUAAUUCAAAAUAAUUGCCAACAACAAAGCUAGGACCAUAAGACUUUAAAUGGACAGUUUGGAUUUCAAGAAUAAAGUUUUGUUUAGAUGUUAAAAAAAUGGUGAUAUUUUAUAAAGAAGUCAUUAUACAUUGUUUAGUACCAAAGAAAACAAAGAUCAUGGUUAUUUCUUUAUCACAGUCUUUACCAUAUCUUGGUAAUUAAAGAUCCUGUAAGUUAUAUUUCAGGUGUUACCAAUUGAAAUUUUAUAUAUAUGUAUAUUAUGCUACUAAAGCAAUUUUCAAACAUAAAGGAAUAUGUAAAAUACGUACUGCAAAUACUUGUCCACAUUAUAUGUAAUCAUUAAAUUAUACAGUCAUGUAUGCAUUCAUUUCUUAUUGAAGAAUUCAACUUACACUUAACAGAAAAUAUAUUUCUUAUUACCUUCCUUUAUGAAAUGAAAAAUCGGUAUUAUCUUUACAAAUAAUGCUUUUUGGACCAUACAAGUUAUGACACUCGUGAAAAUUAAUGAAAAGUUAUAGCCUAGACAUAAUAAAUCAUGACAAAAAUAACACUCCCAUGAAAAAAAAACAAAGAAAAAACAACAAAGAAGCAUUAAGUGAACACUUCUGGUCCUUAUGCUCUGCUAUUCACUUUUAUUAAACAUGUUCAAUAUAAAGUUUCAAGUUUAUAUAUUAAAUACCUUUAGAGGUAUGGUCCUUGCAAACUAAUCAUAGUGAAUACCACGAGCAAUAACUCCAAAACCGGAGAGUUGUCAUUCUUGUAUGCGGUAUUUUACUUUAUUGAGUGAUGUUUCAGAUGAAUUGAUCCUUUAUGACACAUUGUCCAAAAAUUAACGCAGAAACUGAACAAAAGACAAUUACUUCAAACAGAGACAUGCUUCAAAGAACUAUUAUUCUUGUGUUCUCUAGAGUAUUCCUCCUCACUGAGAUGUAUCCACAGUUGGUAUCUAAAAUAUUUGCUCCAGCUAUGCCGUGCCAAGAUAUCCUACCAUGUGCUUCUUUACGUCCCAAUGUGGUUUAUACCUUUUCCCAUACUGGUCACAAACACAAAUACUUUCUGCAAAACAAAACGUUAUUAUUUUUUUUCAAAUGUAUAAUCAAUUUGUUUCUUAUUUCAGCGACUCUAUUUAAUGAGGAAUUGUUUCAACACAACCUUUUCUUUCUUAUUCUUAGGCCGAUAACUGAUCCUCUAAGAAGACAUAUUUACGAUACUGUUUAGUGAUCUCAAUAUUAGUAUCGUAUUUUAAAAAUGCUGUUUCAUUGAACUCUUACUGAUUAUAUGAAAAUAUGAACGUGUGUAACAGGGUCAUUUUUUCGUGCUUUAAAUACAGUUGGGUUGAUUCCAGUUACUUCCAUUGGAUUAUUAUUUUUAAUUGUAUUUUUAACCAAUCAGAUGAUCGCUUUAAUUUUCCCUCCAAAUGUGUUUAGUUUGAUGAUUUUUGCGGGAGUUGAAAAGUAUUUUCAAUAAAGAAUAAUUGGGCUUAUGAUUUGUUUUAUUUGUUUUUAGGAUUUGGAAUACGUAUUAUGGUAUAUUUUAAAGUUUAUUGUUGGGCAAUAACUUCUGUAUUUCCUGUAAACAGCGUAUAUUUAUUUGAGAAGUAAAUUCAUGAUUUUCAUGUAUUUAGAAUUGAGUAAAGAAUUGAGAUGGCUCAGAAAUAGCAUUCCUUUUUAACUUCACUUAACUCUUUCUGUCAUGCACAUUGUUCUUAAUGAUAUGCAUUCUGUAUUUGAUAAUUUGCAGCACCCAGUCACUGUGUGAAUGAAGUGUUGAAUGGAGUUAAGUAAUUGAUGGUUUGAUUCAUGUGAUUUGAUAUUGUUUAAAGCAUACAAUUCCACAAAUUGUGUGCUGGACUUGUUAACUAAGUACUCUAGUUGACUGUUGAUAAAAGUGGAAGCAAAGUGCAGGAAUUUAUGGUUUGAGACAUUUUAAGAGUGAUACAGUGUUUAUUUAUAUUUAUUUGUUUAUCAACAUAGUAACACAGUGAACUAUUAAUAAAUCUAUAUGUGAACCCAA